rnacentral:lncRNA from 10 species
AACCUUUGCUGUCUUGGGACGGAUCACCGCUGCAAGAGGGGAAGUUGCUACUGUGAUGAAUUCUGCCAUGUGGCACCAGACUGCCACCCAGACCACAGUGUCCUCUGCAACCCUGGUAACUCACAUACAGGCCCGAUUCCACCUACAGCAAAGCUGGAUGCGAUGGCUGGCAGAGGCAAACCCUUUGCCUGCACUUCAGGCCAAAGCCGGGAUGUGGCCUAGAUGGUUCCUAAGGUCCCUGACAAUCCUGAGAUCUUGCAUCUUGUCUAUUUCAGGUCAAAGGUGCCUACAUGCUCCUUCUAGCUUUGUUUCCCUGAUGUUCCUUGCCACCUGCUACUCCUCUCUGAGCUACUUUUCCAGCUUCUCAGAUGACCAAGAUGGUGCUGCAGAUGGUGCUGAGGAUGGAGAACCCACCAAGCCCCGCUAGGAGCCACCUAGACUGGAUGCAGAGCAUGGCCCAUCAGAAACUCAAAAGAAUGCGACCUUUGUCUCUCACCCACCUGUGACCUGGAAGCUUUCUCCUGGCUGCGAGUUGUCCCACAUUUGCUUGGCGUUGCCCGGCCUUUUCCAGACUGAACCAAUGUUCAUCUUACAUGUGU